rnacentral:rRNA from 1 species
GCAAGAUUAAAACUCAAAGGAAUAGACGGGGACCCGCACAAGCGGCGGAGCAUGUGGUUUAAUUCGACGAUACGCGAAGAACCUUACCUGGCCUUGACAUAGAAAGAACUUUCCAGAGACGGAUUGGUGCUAGUUUACUAGAGCUUUCAUACAGGUGCUGCACGGCUGUCGUCAGCUCGUGUCGUGAGAUGUUGGGUUAAGUCCCGCAACGAGCGCAACCCUCGUGUUUAGUUACUAACAGUUCGGCUGAGGACUCUAAACAGACUGCCUGGGUAACCAGGAGGAAGGUGAGGACGACGUCAAGUCAUCAUGGCCCUUACGGCCAGGGCUACACACGUGCUACAAUGGGGUAUACAAAGAGCUGCAAUACGGUGACGUGGAGCAAAUCUCAUAAAAUAUCUCCCAGUUCGGAUUGAAGUCUGCAACUCGACUUCAUGAAGUUGGAAUCGCUAGUAAUCGUAGAUCAGCAAUGCUACGGUGAAUACGUUCCCGGGUCUUGUACUCACCGCCCGUCACACCAUGGGAAUUGAAUUCAUUCGAAGCGGGGAUGCUAAAAUAGCUACCUUCCACAGUGGAUUUAGUAACUAGGGUGAAGUCGUAACAAGGUA